UGGGGUGAAGUUCAGUGGUGGAGCGCUUGCCCAGCGUGAAGAAGGGCCUGGGUUCCAUCCCCAGCAUCACAA
rnacentral:tRNA from 1 species